CCAGCCGAGAGGCGCUGCAACGGACAAUGACGUCCGCCACGCUCGGCGUGGGCGUUGUGACGUAAGGGCGCCUCCUGAGA
rnacentral:ncRNA from 2 species